AGUACGCACUUCGGUGCAAUGUACGAGUGGCGAACGGGUGAGUAACACGUGAGAAACCUGCCUCGGAGACCGGGACAACCAUUGGAAACGAUGGCUAAUACCGGAUGUCCUCAUUUGAUCGCAUGAUCUUUUGAGGAAAUGAUCCGUCGCUCCGGGAGGGUCUCGCGGCCUAUCAGCUUGUUGGUGAGGUAAUGGCUCACCAAGGCAUCGACGGGUAGCUGGUCUGAGAGGACGAUCAGCCACACUGGGACUGAGACACGGCCCAGACUCCUACGGGAGGCAGCAGUAGGGAAUCUUGCACAAUGGGCGAAAGCCUGAUGCAGCGACGCCGCGUGGGGGAUGAAGGCCUUCGGGUUGUAAACCCCUUUCAGUAGGGACGAAAAUGACGGUACCUACAGAAGAAGCUCCGGCCAACUACGUGCCAGCAGCCGCGGUAACACGUAGGGAGCAAGCGUUGUCCGGAUUUAUUGGGCGUAAAGAGCUCGUAGGUGGUUCGGUAAGUCGGAUGUGAAAACUCAAGGCUCAACCUUGA
rnacentral:rRNA from 1 species